AUAAGAUUGUGUAUAUGUUUUAAUGCCUUUUUGUCCAAAUUUCCUCUAGGUGGCGUCCAAAGGAUCUCAAGGACAGGUAUGUUAAGAUAAGAUUGUGUAUUAUUUGUAUGCCUUUUUGUCCAAAUUUCCUCUAGGUGGCGUCCAAAGGAUCGCAAGGACAGGUAUGUUAAGAUAAGAUUGUGUAUUAUUUGUAUGCCUUUUCGUCCAAAUUUCCUCUAGGUGGCGUCCAAAGGAUCGCAAGGACAGGUAUGUUAAGAUAAGAUUGUGUAUUAUUUGUAUGCCUUUUCGUCCAAAUUUCCUUUAGGUGGCGUCCAAAGGAUCGCAAGGACAGGUAUGUUAAGAUAAGAUUGUGUAUUAUUUGUAUGCCUUUUCGUCCAAAUUUCCUCUAGGUGGCGUCCAAAAGAUCGCAAGGACAGGUAUGUUAAGAUAAGAUUGUGUAUAUGUUUUAAUGCCUUUUUGUCCAAAUUUCCUCUAGGUGGCGUCCAAAGGAUCUCAAGGACAGGUAUGUUAAGAUAAGAUUGUGUAUUAUUUGUAUGCCUUUUUGUCCAAAUUUCCUCUAGGUGGCGUCCAAAGGAUCACAAGGACAGGUAUGUUAAGAUAAGAUUGUGUAUUAUUUGUAUGCCUUUUCGUCCAAAUUUCCUCUAGGUGGCGUCCAAAGGAUCACAAGGACAGGUAUGUUAAGAUAAGAUUGUGUAUUAUUUGUAUGCCUUUUCGUCCAAAUUUCCUCUAGGUGGCGUCCAAAGGAUUGCAAGGACAGGUAUGUUAAGAUAAGAUUGUGUAUUAUUUGUAUGCCUUUUCGUCCAAAUUUCCUCUAGGUGGCGUCCAAAGGAUCUCAAGGACAGGUAUGUUAAGAUAAGAUUGUGUAUUAUUUGUAUGCCUUUUCGUCCAAAUUUCCUCUAGGUGGCGUCCAAAGGAUCGCAAGGACAGGUAUGUUAAGAUAAGAUUGUGUAUUAUUUGUAUGCCUUUUCGUCCAAAUUUCCUCUAGGUGGCGUCCAAAGGAUUGCAAGGACAGGUAUGUUAAGAUAAGAUUGUGUAUUAUUUGUAUACCUUUUCUUCCAAAUUUCCUCAAGGUGGCGUCCAAAGGAUCCCAAGGACAGGUAUGUUAAGAUAAGAUUGUGUAUUAUUUGUAUGCCUUUUCGUCCAAAUUUCCUCUAGGUGGCGUCCAAAGGAUCGCAAGGACAGGUAUGUUAAGAUAAGAUUGUGUAUUAUUUGUAUGCCUUUUCGUCCAAAUUUCCUCUAGGUGGCGUCAAAAGGAUUGCAAGGACAGGUAUGUUAAGAUAAGAUUGUGUAUUAUUUGUAUGCCUUUUCAUCCAAAUUUCCUCUAGGUGGCGUCCAAAGGAUGGCAAGGACAGGUAUGUUAAGAUAAGAUUGUGUAUUAUUUGUAUGCCUUUUCGUCCAAAUUUCCUCUAGGUGGCGUCCAAAGGAUCGCAAGGACAGGUAUGUUAAGAUAAGAUUGUGUAUUAUUUGUAUGCCUUUUCGUCCAAAUUUCCUCUAGGUGGCGUCCAAAGGAUCGCAAGGACAGGUAUGUUAAGAUAAGAUUGUGUAUUAUUUGUAUGCCUUUUCGUCCAAAUUUCCUCUAGGUGGCGUCCAAAGGAUGGCAAGGACAGGUAUGUUAAGAUAAGAUUGUGUAUUAUUUGUAUGCCUUUUCGUCCAAAUUUCCUCUAGGUGGCGUCCAAAGGAUCGCAAGGACAGGUAUGUUAAGAUAAGAUUGUGUAUUAUUUGUAUGCCUUUUCGUCCAAAUUUCCUCUAGGUGGCGUCCAAAAGAUCGCAAGGACAGGUAUGUUAAGAUAAGAUUGUGUAUAUGUUUUAAUGCCUUUUUGUCCAAAUUUCCUCUAGGUGGCGUCCAAAGGAUCUCAAGGACAGGUAUGUUAAGAUAAGAUUGUGUAUUAUUUGUAUGCCUUUUUGUCCAAAUUUCCUCUAGGUGGCGUCCAAAGGAUCACAAGGACAGGUAUGUUAAGAUAAGAUUGUGUAUUAUUUGUAUGCCUUUUCGUCCAAAUUUCCUCUAGGUGGCGUCCAAAGGAUCGCAAGGACAGGUAUGUUAAGAUAAGAUUGUGUAUUAUUUGUAUGCCUUUUCGUCCAAAUUUCCUCUAGGUGGCGUCCAAAGGAUCGCAAGGACAGGUAUGUUAAGAUAAGAUUGUGUAUUAUUUGUAUGCCUUUUCGUCCAAAUUUCCUUUAGGUGGCGUCCAAAGGAUCGCAAGGACAGGUAUGUUAAGAUAAGAUUGUGUAUUAUUUGUAUGCCUUUUCGUCCAAAUUUCCUCUAGGUGGCGUCCAAAAGAUCGCAAGGACAGGUAUGUUAAGAUAAGAUUGUGUAUAUGUUUUAAUGCCUUUUUGUCCAAAUUUCCUCUAGGUGGCGUCCAAAGGAUCUCAAGGACAGGUAUGUUAAGAUAAGAUUGUGUAUUAUUUGUAUGCCUUUUUGUCCAAAUUUCCUCUAGGUGGCGUCCAAAGGAUCACAAGGACAGGUAUGUUAAGAUAAGAUUGUGUAUUAUUUGUAUGCCUUUUCGUCCAAAUUUCCUCUAGGUGGCGUCCAAAGGAUCACAAGGACAGGUAUGUUAAGAUAAGAUUGUGUAUUAUUUGUAUGCCUUUUCGUCCAAAUUUCCUCUAGGUGGCGUCCAAAGGAUUGCAAGGACAGGUAUGUUAAGAUAAGAUUGUGUAUUAUUUGUAUGCCUUUUCGUCCAAAUUUCCUCUAGGUGGCGUCCAAAGGAUCACAAGGACAGGUAUGUUAAGAUAAGAUUGUGUAUUAUUUGUAUGCCUUUUCGUCCAAAUUUCCUCUAGGUGGCGUCCAAAAGAUCGCAAGGACAGGUAUGUUAAGAUAAGAUUGUGUAUAUGUUUUAAUGCCUUUUUGUCCAAAUUUCCUCUAGGUGGCGUCCAAAGGAUCUCAAGGACAGGUAUGUUAAGAUAAGAUUGUGUAUUAUUUGUAUGCCUUUUUGUCCAAAUUUCCUCUAGGUGGCGUCCAAAGGAUCACAAGGACAGGUAUGUUAAGAUAAGAUUGUGUAUUAUUUGUAUGCCUUUUCGUCCAAAUUUCCUCUAGGUGGCGUCCAAAGGAUCACAAGGACAGGUAUGUUAAGAUAAGAUUGUGUAUUAUUUGUAUGCCUUUUCGUCCAAAUUUCCUCUAGGUGGCGUCCAAAGGAUUGCAAGGACAGGUAUGUUAAGAUAAGAUUGUGUAUUAUUUGUAUGCCUUUUCGUCCAAAUUUCCUCUAGGUGGCGUCCAAAGGAUCUCAAGGACAGGUAUGUUAAGAUAAGAUUGUGUAUUAUUUGUAUGCCUUUUUGUCCAAAUUUCCUCUAGGUGGCGUCCAAAGGAUCGCAAGGACAGGUAUUUUAAGAUAAGAUUGUGUAUUAUUUGCAUGCCUUUUCUUCCAAAUUUCCUCAAGGUGGCGUCCAAAGGAUCCCAAGGACAGGUAUGUUAAGAUAAGAUUGUGUAUUAUUUGUAUGCCUUUUCGUCCAAAUUUCCUCUAGGUGGCGUCCAAAGGAUCGCAAGGACAGGUAUGUUAAGAUAAGAUUGUGUAUUAUUUGUAUGCCUUUUCGUCCAAAUUUCCUCUAGGUGGCGUCCAAAGGAUUGCAAGGACAGGUAUGUUAAGAUAAGAUUGUGUAUUAUUUGUAUACCUUUUCUUCCAAAUUUCCUCAAGGUGGCGUCCAAAGGAUCCCAAGGACAGGUAUGUUAAGAUAAGAUUGUGUAUUAUUUGUAUGCCUUUUUGUCCAAAUUUCCUCUAGGUGGCGUCCAAAGGAUCGCAAGGACAGGUAUGUUAAGAUAAGAUUGUGUAUUAUUUGUAUGCCUUUUCGUCCAAAUUUCCUCUAGGUGGCAUCCAAAGGAUCGCAAGGACAGGUAUGUUAAGAUAAGAUUGUGUAUAUGUUUAAAUGCCUUUUUGUCCAAAUUUCCUCAAGGUGGCGUCCAAAGAAUCUCAAGGACAGGUAUGUUAAGAUAAGAUUGUGUAUUAUUUGUAUGCCUUUUCCUCCAAAUUUCCUCUAGGUGGCGUCCAAAGGAUCACAAGGACAGGUAUGUUAAGAUAAGAUUGUGUAUUAUUUGUAUGCCUUUUCGUCCAAAUUUCCUCUAGGUGGCGUCCAAAGGAUCGCAAGGACAGGUAUGUUAAGAUAAGAUUGUGUAUUAUUUGUAUGCCUUUUCGUCCAAAUUUCCUUUAGGUGGCGUCCAAAGGAUCGCAAGGACAGGUAUGUUAAGAUAAGAUUGUGUAUUAUUUGUAUGCCUUUUCGUCCAAAUUUCCUCUAGGUGGCGUCCAAAGGAUCCCAAGGACAGGUAUGUUAAGAUAAGAUUGUGUAUUAUUUGUAUGCCUUUUCGUCCAAAUUUCCUCUAGGUGGCGUCCAAAGGAUUGCAAGGACAGGUAUGUUAAGAUAAGAUUGUGUAUUAUUUGUAUGCCUUUUCGUCCAAAUUUCCUCUAGGUGGCGUCCAAAGGAUUGCAAGGACAGGUAUGUUAAGAUAAGAUUGUGUAUUAUUUGUAUGCCUUUUCGUCCAAAUUUCCUCUAGGUGGCGUCCAAAGGAUCCCAAGGACAGGUAUGUUAAGAUAAGAUUGUGUAUUAUUUGUAUGCCUUUUCGUCCAAAUUUCCUCUAGGUGGCGUCCAAAGGAUCACAAGGACAGGUAUGGUAAGAUAAGAUUGUGUAUUAUUUGUAUGCCUUUUCGUCCAAAUUUCCUCUAGGUGGCGUCCAAAGGAUCGCAAGGACAGGUAUGUUAAGAUAAGAUUGUGUAUUAUUUGUAUGCCUUUUCGUCCAAAUUUCCUCUAGGUGGCGUCCAAAGGAUCUCAAGGACAGGUAUGUUAAGAUAAGAUUGUGUAUUAUUUGUAUGCCUUUUCGUCCAAAUCUCCUCUAGGUGGCGUCCAAAGGAUCUCAAGGACAGGUAUGUUAAGAUAAGAUUGUGUAUUAUUUGUAUGCCUUUUUGUCCAAAUUUCCUCUAGGUGGCGUCCAAAGGAUCGCAAGGACAGGUAUGUUAAGAUAAGAUUGUGUAUAUGUUUUAAUGCCUUUUUGUCCAAAUUUCCUCUAGGUGGCGUCCAAAGGAUCGCAAGAGAAGGUAUGUUAAGAUAAGAUUGUGUAUAUGUUUGUAUGCCUUUUUGUCAAAGUUUCCUCUAGGUGGUGUCCCAAGGAUCAGAAGGACAGGUAUGUUAAGAUAAGAUUGUUUGCAUGUUUGUCUUAUAUUAAGAUGAUUUAAGUUUGUAUUACAGAUGGAGGAACCCAGAAGAAAGUUCAGCACUAGACCUGAAGGAAAAUUGUUUCAUUUUAGUUGCCAGAUAAUGAUGAUGCAAAAAGAGCAUAGACACAGAAAAUUGCGCCUUUGAUAAAGAUCUGGAAAGAAGCUAAAAGGAAGGACCAAGUGUCAGUCGAGAUGGCAGAUGAGUAGCAACUCCAUGGAAGAUGUUUACCUAGAUCUUCAACCAAAUCCAAGGCUUUGCCAUGUUAUAAAACAGUGCAAUGUUUUCAUGAAGGGGAGUAAUACUUGUGGUAUAAUAUAUCUUAAAUACAAUUUAUGUUCCUGUAGCCAGCCAGUCCCAAGUUUCAGUCAAGAUGGCAGAUGGGUAGCAACUCCAUGGAAGAUGAAUUAGAUCUUCAACCAAGUCCAAGGCAUUGCCAUGUAAGCAAUCAAGCAGCAAGGAUAGCAGCUGGAAUGAAGAUUAAUUAUUACAUUGAUCUUCAACCAAGUCUGAGGCUUUGUCAUGAAAGAAAUAAUGCAAGUUAUAAAACAGUGCCAAUGUUUUCAUGAAGGGGAGUAAGACUUGUGGUAUAAUAUAUCUUAAAUACAAUGUAUAUUCCAGUAGCCAGCCAGUCCCAAAUUUCAGUCGAGAUGGCAGAUGAGUAGCAACUUUAUUACAAGAUGUUUACUUAGAUCUUCAACCAAGUCCGAGGCUUUGCCAUGUAAGCAAUCAAGCAGCAAGGAUGGCAGCUGGAAAGAAGAUUAAUUAUUACAUUGAUCUUCAACCAAGUCUGAGGCUUUGUCAUGAAAGAAAUA